rnacentral:rRNA from 1 species
UACAGAGGGGGCAAGCGUUAUUCGGAAUUAUUGGGCGUAAAGGGCGCGUAGGCGGCCUGGCAAGUGGAUGGUGAAAUCCCUCGGCUUAACCGAGGAACUGCCAUCCAGACUGCUUGGCUUGAGACCGGGAGAGGUGAGUGGAAUUCCCAGUGUAGCGGUGAAAUGCGUAGAUAUUGGGAGGAACACCAGUGGCGAAGGCGGCUCGCUGGACCGGUUCUGACGCUGAUGCGCGAAAGCGUGGGGAGCAAACGGG